GGCUGCGUGAGUCUCCCACUGAAAUGAUGGACAGAUGCAGCACUAGUAGGAAGCAAGGCAAGGCGGAGUGAAGCCGGGACCCGCCCUGGGUGUAACGCUGCACAGGAGAAAGACACCGUCCGUGCAUUCCCCAAUAAAGACAGUAGUUCCGAUGCAAAUCCAAGCACAAGGGUUAGAUGUAACAGUCUUCUAAUGAACAUCCUUCAUUUAAAAAAAGAAGAAAAAAAUGGCAGGACUUGAAAAUUAUCCACCUGAAAACUUCAUGCUUUUGCCACAUCCAAGAUCAGACUAACAAAAAAAAAAAA